GGAAAACCAAGGUGAAGCCAAAACCAUCGUGGACAGAGGCAACUUCCCUUAACUUUUGCGACUUCCACUAUGGUUUUGGCCUUAUCGUGGUUUUCC
rnacentral:pre_miRNA from 1 species